rnacentral:tRNA from 1 species
GGGGAUAUAGCUCCAUGGUAGAGCACAUGCUUUUAAAGUAUUAAGCUUAAAUAUAAAAGCAGUAUUGUCAAUUUUAUAUUUUCA